CUGAAACAUCUAAGUACCUGAAGGAAGAGAAAGAAAUUCGAUUCCGUAAGUAGCGGCGAGCGAACGCGGAUUAGCCCAAACCAAUAAAGUUUUCUUUAUUGGGGGUGCGGACAUAUCAUAACGAAGAGGUAUCGUAAUUGAAGAGGUUUGGAAAGACCCACCACAGAAGGUAAUAGGCCUGUAUGUUAAACGAGAAGACUUCAGAUAUGAUCCAGAGUACCACGGGACACG
rnacentral:rRNA from 1 species